rnacentral:rRNA from 1 species
UACGUAGGGGGCAAGCGUUGUCCGGAUUUAUUGGGCGUAAAGAGCGUGUAGGCGGCCAUACAGGUCAGCUGUGAAAACUCGAGGCUCAACCUCGAGACGUCGGUUGAAACCGUAUGGCUAGAGUCCGGAAGAGGAGAGUGGAAUUCCCGGUGUAGCGGUGAAAUGCGCAGAUAUCGGGAAGAACACCCGUGGCGAAGGCGGCUCUCUGGGACGGUACUGACGCUGAGACGCGAAAGCGUGGGGAGCGAACAGGA